rnacentral:lncRNA from 1 species
GCAACACUACUUAACUUUUUUUGUCCAGGCAGGACUUGGACUGGCCCUGAUCAGGUUUGGCCCCAUGACAGGAAGACUGAACUCCCAGGAACUGUGAAGAAGGAUUACAGAAGCAAGUCCUUACAGGAUCAUCCCGUUUGCCUCAACCCUGGGUGGGGUGAGAAGAGAUCACAAGUCUCUUCAAGACAAGGUUGAGCAGUCUGGUCCAGGAUCAAUAAAUUACAAAUGUCUGCUCUAGAGAGCUGAAGA